GCGCACGUGGCGGAAUUGGUAGACGCGCCAGGUUGAGGGCCUGGUGGCCAUUGCGGCCGUGGAGGUUCGAUUCCUCUCGUGCGCA
rfam:Fulvivirga imtechensis AK7 contig84, whole genome shotgun sequence.